rnacentral:rRNA from 11 species
GUCAGAAGCCCUCUAUAUAUCCUAAAGGCACCAGAUCCUGCAUGAUCUUGGAAGCUAAGAAGAUUAAUCCUGGUUAGUACUUGAAUGGGAUGCCAUUAGAGAAUAUCCGAUGCUUUAGGUA